rnacentral:rRNA from 1 species
AGUGGCGGACGGGUGAGUAACACGUGAGAAUUUGCCUUUAGGAGGGGGAUAACAAUCGGAAACGAAUGCUAAUACCCCAUAUGCUUUUGAGUGAAAUGGAUUUAUCCGCCUAAAGAGAAGCUCGCGGCUGAUUAGCUUGUUGGUGGGGUAAGAGCUUACCAAGGCGACGAUCAGUAUCUGGUUUGAGAGGACGAUCAGACACACUGGAACUGAGACACGGUCCAGACUCCUACGGGAGGCAGCAGUGGGGAAUUUUCCGCAAUGGGCGAAAGCCUGACGGAGCAAUACCGCGUGAGGGAAGACUGCCUAUGGGUUGUAAACCUCUUUUUUCAGGGAGGAACAAAAUGACGUGUACCUGAAGAAUAAGCAUCGGCUAACUCCGUGCCAGCAGCCGCGGUAAGACGGAGGAUGCAAGUGUUAUCCGGAAUCACUGGGCGUAAAGCGUCUGUAGGUGGUUUAAUAAGUCAACUGUUAAAUCUUGAGGCUCAACUUCAAAAUCGCAGUCGAAACUAUUAGACUAGAGUAUAGUAGAGGUAAAGGGAAUUUCCAGUGGAGCGGUGAAAUGCGUAGAUAUUGGAAAGAACACCGAUGGCGAAAGCACUUUACUGGGCUAUUACUAACACUCAGAGACGAAAGCUAGGGUAGCAAAUGGGAUUAGAUACCCCAGUAGUCCUAGCCGUAAACUAUGGAUACUAGA